rnacentral:rRNA from 1 species
UACGUAGGGUGCAAGCGUUGUCCGGAAUUAUUGGGCGUAAAGAGCUCGUAGGCGGUUUGUCGCGUCUGCUGUGAAAACUCGGGGCUUAACCCCGGGCCUGCAGUGGGUACGGGCAGACUAGAGUGCGGUAGGGGAGAUCGGAAUUCCUGGUGUAGCGGUGAAAUGCGCAGAUAUCAGGAGGAACACCAGUGGCGAAGGCGGCUCGCUGGGACGUUACUGACGCUGAGACGCGAAAGCGUGGGGAGCAAACAGG